rnacentral:sRNA from 1 species
AUGCACCACUCUUACGCCGCGAUUCCUUCGCGUCAUCCGCACUCGCCUGGCGACUGCCUGCUGCGCCCUGCUGGCC